CAGUAGCCACGGGAAUACGUAGGGUGCAAGCGUUAUCCGGAAUUAUUGGGCGUAAAGAGCUCGUAGGCGGUUUGUCGCGUCUGCUGUGAAAACUGGAGGCUCAACCUCCAGCCUGCAGUGGGUACGGGCAGACUAGAGUGCGGUAGGGGAGAUUGGAAUUCCUGGUGUAGCGGUGGAAUGCGCAGAUAUCAGGAGGAACACCGAUGGCGAAGGCAGAUCUCUGGGCCGUAACUGACGCUGAGGAGCGAAAGCGUGGGGAGCGAACAGGAUUAGAUACCCCGGUAGUCCCUGUCUCUUAUAC
rnacentral:rRNA from 1 species